AUUGAACGCUGGCGGAAUGCUUUACACAUGCAAGUCGAACGGCAGCACGGGGCAACCUGGUGGCGAGUGGCGAACGGGUGAGUAAUACAUCGGAACGUGCCCAAUCGUGGGGGAUAACGUAGCGAAAGUUACGCUAAUACCGCAUACGAUCUACGGAUGAAAGCGGGGGAUCGCAAGACCUCGCGCGAAUGGAGCGGCCGAUGUCAGAUUAGGUAGUUGGUGGGGUAAAGGCUCACCAAGCCGACGAUCUGUAGCUGGUCUGAGAGGACGACCAGCCACACUGGGACUGAGACACGGCCCAGACUCCUACGGAGGCAGCAGUGGGGAAUUUUGGGACUAAAUGGGCGCAAGCCUGAUCCAGCCAUCCGCGUGCAGGAUGAAGG
rnacentral:rRNA from 1 species